ACUCAGUUGUCCUCUUCGACAUCCCUCACUUUGGUUUUUCUGCCCUGCAGGAGGUGGGGCACUUACCCGGCAGUCACUCCAGGACAACACAGCUUCACGGACCUGCCUGGCUGCCCAUAGAGGGUGGCAAGUCACAAGUCAGAGUUGGGAGGUUGUAGAGCAGGGUUCUUCUCACCUGGGGGGCCCCAGGCCUGGGGGCAGGGGGAGGAGGCAGACACCAGGGCUGUAGCCACGGCCACCAGGACCCUGCUCAGCCCUGAGCAGCUGCUGCUCAUCUGUGGGGAGAGGUAGAGUCAAAAAUCCCCGACCCCUGAGAUGGGAGGCUAAAGCCUGGCUCUUCCUCUCCAAAACUGAGGCUUCCUAGGAGAAAAAUUGAUGCACCAAGUGGGGUAAGGCUGUUAGAAAUCACUGCGGGAACUGACCUGAGGUCCCCUUUCCCACUGUAUACCCAGUGCUUUGCAUGUG
rnacentral:lncRNA from 10 species